CCCAGACUCCUACGGGAGGCAGCAGUGGGGGAUAUUGCACAAUGGGGGGAACCCUGAUGCAGCGACGCCGCGUGGGUGAAGGAGCGUUUCGGCGCGUAAAGCCCUAUCGGCAGGGAAGAAAAUGACGGGACCUGAGUAAGAAGCCCCGGCUAACUACGUGCCAGCAGCCGCGGGAAUACGUAGGGGGCAAGCGUUAUCCGGAUUUACUGGGUGUAAAGGGAGCGUAGACGGCGAUGCAAGUCUGAAGUGAAAGCCCGGGGCUCAACCCCGGGACUGCUUUGGAAACUGUAUGGCUAGAGUGCUGGAGAGGCAAGCGGAAUUCCUAGUGUAGCGGUGAAAUGCGUAGAUAUUAGGAGGAACACCAGUGGCGAAGGCGGCCUGCUGGACGAUGACUGACGUUGAGGCUCGAAAGCGUGGGGAGCAAACAGGAUUAGAUACCCCAGUA
rnacentral:rRNA from 1 species